UGCAAAUCGCUUUGUGGUUUUCAGACUGAAUUCCUUAAUGACAUUCUCAUUAAAAGUUCUUGCUGCCAAAUGCUGUUUGCUUUUGCUUUCAGAACUGUCUGCAUUAAUAACAAGUACCUCCACUUGGAAGUUAUUUACAUAAAGCAUUGUUCUCACAUCACUGCCACUGACAGCGGCUCCGGACUGGGUGAGAGAAGGACACCGAGAUGAAUUCAGCCAUACUUACCUUACUGUGCUGCGUGAGAUGAGGAGAGUUCAAAGACCUCAGAGCAAGUUUAAAACCUUAAUCACUGAACAAUGCUUCCACCUGCCUCUUGGUUUUCUCUGGGGACCUUCCAGCGCUGGCCAGUCCUGACCCUAUCUGACUUACUUCAGGGACAAUCCCAGUGUCUCAGGCUCUGAAAAAAGGGUGAAACAGCGACUGGAAAUGCUGCUCAAGCCAGCUUACAUGCUGAUCAGGAUCUGCUGCAGCCUGGGAAUAAUCUGGCACCAGCUUCUUGGGCAGGUAAGCUGCAUAAAAAGAGAAAAAACAAACAGGACAAACCUGGAGUGGGUGCAUCCAGAAGCCACGCAGCGGGAUUGCAGUGGGAGCAGCCGUGACACUGUGCAGAACCUUCGACUGAGCUCUGGAUGCAGCAGCACUCAGCUGGGGUUGCACCUGAAGUACACAGACAGCCCAGCAGCCGGAGCAUGUGGGAACAUAUUGCGGAGCUUCAGGGCCUUGGUGCUGUAUUUUCCUUUCUGCCACAGCUUUCCUGCAGGACACGGGGAGAAGCAAUGA
rnacentral:lncRNA from 1 species